AACGAACGCUGGCGGCGCGUCUUAAGCAUGCAAGUCGAACGGCAAGAGAGGAGCUUGCUUCUCUCCUAGAGUGGCGGACUGGUGAGGAACACGUGGGUAAUCUACCCUUAAGAUGGGGAUAGCUGCUAGAAAUAGCAGGUAAUACCGAAUACACUCGGCAUAUCACAAGAGGUGUUGAGGAAAGGAAGCUACGGCUUCGCUUGAGGAUGAGCUUGCGCCCCAUUAGCUAGUUGGUGAGGUAAAGGCCCACCAAGGCGACGAUGGGUAUCCGGCCUGAGAGGGUGAACGGACACAUUGGGACUGAGAUACGGCCCAAACUCCUACGGGAGGCAGCAGCUAAGAAUAUUCCGCAAUGGACGGAAGUCUGACGGAGCGACGCCGCGUGGAUGAAGAAGGCUGAAAAGUUGUAAAAUCCUUUUGUUGAUGAAGAAUAAGGGUGAGAGGGAAUGCUCAUCUGAUGACGGUAAUCGACGAAUAAGCCCCGGCUAAUUACGUG
rnacentral:rRNA from 1 species